rnacentral:rRNA from 1 species
CAUGGAGGGUGAGAAUCCCGUCCGGUUGACCUUAGGAUGUUCUACGUUACGCUAUCUAAGAGUCGAGUUGUUUGGGAUUGCAGCUCAAAAUGGGAGGUAAAUUUCUCCUAAGGCUAAAUACAGGCGAGAGACCGAUAGCGAACAAGUACCGUGAGGGAAAGAUGAAAAGAACUUUGAAAAGAGAGUUAAACAGUACGUGAAAUUGUUGAAAGGGAAACGAUUGAAGCCAGUCGUACUGACGGGAAAUCAACUUCUCGAGUGCUUGCCGUAGAUGACGUUGAGCUUCACGGCCUUCGUUGCUUACGUUAUGGUGCUUUUGAGGUGUACUUUUCCGUAUGGUAGGUCAACAUCGAUUUUGAUCGUCAUAAAAUGAUCGGAGGAAUGUGGCUCUGAUCUCGUAUCGGAGUGUUAUAGCCUUUGGUAGAUAUGAUGAUCGGGAUCGAGGAUUGCAACGAAUACCCUUUGGGCUAUCCGUCUGACCUCUGAAAGUCGCUCGGGUGUUGAAAGCGUGCUUAUAACAUUCUAGUUGGCGGUCAAAAGGUUAGAACGUGAUUACAUUCGUUAAGGAUGUUGACGUAAUGG